rnacentral:rRNA from 1 species
AGAUUGAACGCUGGCGGCAUGCCUAACACAUGCAAGUCGAACGGGAGUAGCAAUACUCUAGUGGCGGACGGGUGAGGAAUACGUAGGAAUUUGCCCUUAAGUGGGGGAUAACCCGGGGAAACCCGGAUUAAUACCGCAUGACCUCGAAAGAGCAAAGUGGGGGAUCGCAAGACCUCACGCUUUUGGAGAAGCCUACGUCGGAUUAGCUAGUUGGUGAGGUAAUGGCUCACCAAGGCGACGAUCCGUAAACUGGUCUGAGAGGAUGAUCAGUCACACCGGAACUGAGACACGGUCCGGACUCCUACGGGAGGCAGCAGUGGGGAAUAUUGGACAAUGGGCGCAAGCCUGAUCCAGCAAUGCCGCGUGUGUGAAGAAGGCCUUGGUUGUAAAGCACUUUAAGUUGGGAAGAAAAACUCGACUACUAACACUAGUGAGUCGUUGACGGUACCGACAGAA